CUCGUCAGAAUGGCAUCUCCAUAUAGCCGCCCCAGUCCCAUCAGGGUCAAAUGUGUCAUGAACCAUCGACAUGUAAAAACCCUAAACUUCCAGGUCGUGAAUGAAGAAAUAAGGCUUGGGAAUCAAAAUAUCACCUACCUUAGUGCACUGUCCACUGGUGGUAAAGUGUACAUCACACAGUCCUCUUCGGACAGUGCAGCCUUUGAAGAGGGUGUGACGUACUACGUCAAAAACUACACCUUGUCCUCAAGGUAUGGCCAGGAACGUCUGUUCAUGGGGCCGAACACGACGACAUACAAAACUGCUCCCCUCACAGACGUUUGACGCCGAGAAGAUGGCCAGAGACGCGAGAACAGUCGAACAUUUGCAGUUUCCCAGGAUGACUACUGUGAGGGACACAGAAGUCCCCAUCUUGGAUCUGGGGAUCAAAAGCGGCUCCAGGAUCCUUGAGGUGUCCUGACCAAGCUGCAACUUAAUGAUAAAAUUAAUAUCGGUCACCUCAGAGCAAACGCCAAGGCCGAAAAGUUUAACUCAACGGUCUAUACAACUGUGGAGUUUUGGAGCAAGGACCAGUGGUGGAGGACAUAGUAGUCAUCGGCUUGUCCGAAGCCAAUGGUAAGGUGUCCUUACUCGCUGAGGACUUCAGCGAGUACACAGCAUGCCCCGAGCUCCUUGAAGGAAGUGCAGACGAGCUCCUGUGUCAGCUUCCACUUCAUCUGGAAGUUGUAGACGAUCGCAAGAAAAUAAAAAAAAUAAAUUAUAUUGAUCAACUGAGUUCCCAGUGAAAUAGUUAGUUAGUUUUUUAAAAUUCUGUUAUUGUUUGCUGUUCAAUUUUGUUUUAUAAAUUAUUUGUUUCGCACACACA